GACGAACGCUGGCGGCGUGCCUAAUACAUGCAAGUAGAACGCUGAAGAGAGGAGCUUACUCUUCUUGGAUGAGUUGCGGACGGGUGAGUAACGCGUAGGUAACCUGCCUUGUAGCGGGGGAUAACUAUUGGAAACGAUAGCUAAUACCGCAUAACAAUGGAUGACACAUGUUAUUUAUUUGAAAGGGGCAAUUGCUCCACUACAAGAUGGACCUGCGUUGUAUUAGCUAGUAGGUGAGGUAAUGGCUCACCUAGGCGACGAUACAUAGCCGACCUGAGAGGGUGAUCGGCCACACUGGGACUGAGACACGGCCCAGACUCCUACGGGAGGCAGCAGUAGGGAAUCUUCGGCAAUGGGGGCAACCCUGACCGAGCAACGCCGCGUGAGUGAAGAAGGUUUUCGGAUCGUAAAGCUCUGUUGUAAGUCAAGAACGGGUGUGAGAGUGGAAAGUUCACACUGUGACGGUAGCUUACCAGAAAGGGACGGCUAACUACGUG
rnacentral:rRNA from 1 species